rnacentral:rRNA from 1 species
UGCAGUCGAGCGGUAGAGAGGUGCUUGCACCUCUUGAGAGCGGCGGACGGCUGAGUAAAGCCUAGGAAUCUGCCUGGUAGUGGGGGAUAACGCUCGGAAACGGACGCUAAUACCGCAUACGUCCUACGGGAGAAAGCAGGGGACCUUCGGGCCUUGCGCUAUCAGAUGAGCCUAGGUCGGAUUAGCUAGUUGGUGAGGUAAUGGCUCACCAAGGCGACGAUCCGUAACUGGUCUGAGAGGAUGAUCAGUCACACUGGAACUGAGACACGGUCCAGACUCCUACGGGAGGCAGCAGUGGGGAAUAUUGGACAAUGGGCGAAAGCCUGAUCCAGCCAUGCCGCGUGUGUGAAGAAGGUCUUCGGAUUGUAAAGCACUUUAAGUUGGGAGGAAGGGCAUUAACCUAAUACGUUAGUGUUUUGACGUUACCGACAGAAUAAGCACCGGCUAACUCUGUGCCAGCAGCCGCGGUAAUACAGAGGGUGCAAGCGUUAAUCGGAAUUACUGGGCGUAAAGCGCGCGUAGGUGGUUCGUUAAGUUGGAUGUGAAAUCCCCGGGCUCAACCUGGGAACUGCAUUCAAAACUGUCGAGCUAGAGUAUGGUAGAGGGUGGUGGAAUUUCCUGUGUAGCGGUGAAAUGCGUAG